CUUUACUGUAACUUGAAAUUGAAACUGGACUUUACUUGCGCAGGAUAGGUGGGAGGCGUUGAGAGUAUUCUUGCGGGAAUAUUGGAGCCAUCGGUGAGAUACCACUCUUGUAAUGUUAGGUUUCUAACUUGGUAUCAUGAUCUGGUCCAAGAACAGUUUCAGGCGGGCAGUUUGACUGGGGCGGUCGCCUCCUAAACGGUAACGGAGGCGUACAAAGGUUUCCUCUGAACGGGUAGAAAUCGUAUCUAGAGUGUAAAGGCAUAAGGAAGCUUGACUGUGAGACCUACAAGUCGAGCAGGGACGAAAGUCGGUCUUAGUGAUCUGACGGUGCUGAGUGGAAAGGCCGUCACUCAACGGAUAAAAGUUA
rnacentral:rRNA from 1 species